rnacentral:ncRNA from 2 species
CAAAUGAACAGUAAGUUAAGUUCUCAGAAGAGAUUAAAAGGGAAUUCGGUGAAAUUCCGAAGCGGUCCCGCCACUGUAAUAGGGAGCUAGAUACAUAAUCCACUGGUAAUAAUCGGGAAGGAGUAUUUAGUGAUGAACUUAAGUCAGGAGACCUACUUAAUGAACGAUAUCCUA